AUACGGAGGGGGCUAGCGUUGUUCGGAAUUACUGGGCGUAAAGCGCGUGUAGGCGGAUCGUUAAGUCAGGGGUGAAAGCCCGGAGCUCAACUCCGGAAUUGCCCUUGAUACUGGCGAUCUAGAGGCCGGGAGAGGUGAGCGGAAUUCCCAGUGUAGAGGUGAAAUUCGUAGAUAUUGGGAGGAACACCAGUGGCGAAGGCGGCUCACUGGCCCGGUUCUGACGCUGAGACGCGAAAGCGCGGGGAGCAAACAGGAUUAGAAACCCCAGUAGUCC
rnacentral:rRNA from 1 species